GAUGAACGCUGGCGGCGUGCCUAAUACAUGCAAGUCGAGCGAACAGACGAGGAGCUUGCUCCUCUGAUGUUAGCGGCGGACGGGUGAGUAACACGUGGAUAACCUACCUAUAAGACUGGGAUAACUUCGGGAAACCGGAGCUAAUACCGGAUAACAUGUUGAACCGCAUGGUUCAACAGUGAAAGACGGUCUUGCUGUCACUUAUAGAUGGAUCCGCGCCGCAUUAGCUAGUUGGUAAGGUAACGGCUUACCAAGGCAACGAUGCGUAGCCGACCUGAGAGGGGGAUCGGCCACACGGGAACUGAGACACGGUCCAGACUCCUACGGGAGGCAGCAGUAGGGAAUCUUCCGCAAUGGGCGAAAGCCUGACGGAGCAACGCCGCGUGAGUGAAGAAGGUCUUCGGAUCGUAAAACUCUGUUAUUAGGGAAGAACAAAUGUGUAAGUAACUAUGCACGUCUUGACGGUACCUAAUCAGAAAGCCACGGCUAACUACG
rnacentral:rRNA from 1 species